AGAGUUUGAUCCUGGCUCAGGAUGAACGCUAGCGGCAGGCUUAACACAUGCAAGUCGAGGGGCAGCAUAAUGGAUAGCAAUAUCUAUGGUGGCGACCGGCGCACGGGUGCGUAACGCGUAUGCAACCUACCUUUAACAGGGGGAUAACACUGAGAAAUUGGUACUAAUACCCCAUAAUAUCAUAGAAGGCAUCUUUUAUGGUUGAAAAUUCCGAUGGUUAGAGAUGGGCAUGCGUUGUAUUAGCUAGUUGGUGGGGUAACGGCUCACCAAGGCGACGAUACAUAGGGGGACUGAGAGGUUAACCCCCCACACUGGUACUGAGACACGGACCAGACUCCUACGGGAGGCAGCAGUGAGGAAUAUUGGUCAAUGGACGCAAGUCUGAACCAGCCAUGCCGCGUGCAGGAUGACGGCUCUAUGAGUUGUAAACUGCUUUUGUACGAGGGUAAACGCAGAUACGUGUAUCUGUCUGAAAGUAUCGUACGAAUAAGGAUCGGCUAACUCCGUGCCAGCAGCCGCGGUAAUACGGAGGAUUCAAGCGUUAUCCGGAUUUAUUGGGUUUAAAGGGUGCGUAGGCGGUUUGAUAAGUUAGAGGUGAAAUUUCGGGGCUCAACCCUGAACGUGCCUCUAAUACUGUUGAGCUAGAGAGUAGUUGCGGUAGGCGGAAUGUAUGGUGUAGCGGUGAAAUGCUUAGAGAUCAUACAGAACACCGAUUGCGAAGGCAGCUUACCAAACUAUAUCUGACGUUGAGGCACGAAAGCGUGGGGAGCAAACAGGAUUAGAUACCCUGGUAGUCCACGCAGUAAACGAUGAUAACUCGUUGUCGGCGAUACACAGUCGGUGACUAAGCGAAAGCGAUAAGUUAUCCACCUGGGGAGUACGUUCGCAAGAAUGAAACUCAAAGGAAUUGACGGGGGCCCGCACAAGCGGAGGAACAUGUGGUUUAAUUCGAUGAUACGCGAGGAACCUUACCCGGGCUUGAAUUGCAGAGGAAGGAUUUGGAGACAAU
rnacentral:rRNA from 1 species